AAACAUCGCCUCUUGCCAACUUACAUGUAUAAGAGGUCCAGCCUGCCCAGUGACUGUAUGUUCAACGGCCGCGGUAUUCUGACCGUGCAAAGGUAGCGUAAUCACUUGUCUUUUAAAUAAAGACUGGUAUGAACGGCACCACGAAGGUUCAACUGUCUCCUGCAUCCUAUCCAUAAAAUUGACCUCCCCGUGCAGAGGCGGGGAUAUAACCAUAAGACGAGAAGACCCUAUGGAGCUUCAAACUAAGGGCAACUGCCAAUAAUCUAUUAAACCGUUAGGAAUUAAUCAGUAAACAAGCAGAUAAAUGACCUAAAGUUUUCGGUUGGGGCGACCAUGGAGAAAAAGAAAUCCUCCUUGAAGAACAGGACACUCAAUCCUUAACCAAGAAUAACAGUUCUAAGUAACAAAAUUUUAGACUAUAAUUGAUCCAGUCUAACUGAUCAACGAACCAAGUUACCCUAGGGAUAACAGCGCAAUCCAUUUCAAAAGUUCUUAUCGACAAAUGGGUUUACGACCUCGAUGUUGGAUCAGGGCAUCCCAGUGGUGCAGCCGCUACUAAAGGUUCGUUUGUUCAACGAUUAAAGCCCUAC
rnacentral:rRNA from 1 species